CUCGAAGGCUGCCGCUCGGCCACUCGCGCUCGCAUUUCUCGUGCGGUUGUCGGCUCGGAAAGUAUCCUCGCUUGCGGGAUAUUGUCGAAAUUGUUGUUUGGCUCGGGAAAGCUGGAGCGCAAAAUUAUCGUUUGGCUGUAAGCGAAAUCAAAAACCAACUACAAAAAAAACAAAAAAAAAAAAAAA